CGGCUGCAGCCUCAGCCCAGAGGAAAACUUUGUAAGAGCAAAAUCUGGAGCCUCCCAGACGUGACUGUCCCGGGAGAAGUGGCCCAGGGCGGGCAGAAGACACAGCCUGAAGAGACCCAGGAAGAGGAAAAGAGGAGGUAAGCGGGGCCGCUGCCGCCUCCUCUGCUCCGGCAGCGCGGAAGAGACCCGGGUGACCGCCUGGCUUAGAGACACAAGCACCGCUUCUUCCUCAGUAACGUGCCGGAGCCUUCCGUAGCUGCCGCCUCAGAGCGAAGGAGGAAGGGAACCAACCCACUUUCUCAGCGCCACGGCUCUUCCCUAAAGUAAUGUGAAAUCCUUUGCAUCUUCUGAUAGUCUAGCUAAGGUCCAAGAAGUAGCAAGCUGGCUUUUGGAAAUGAAUCAGGAACUGCUCUCUGUGGGCAGCAAAAGACGACGAACUGGAGGUUCUCUGAGAGGUAACCCUUCCUCAAGCCAGGCAGAUGAGGAACAGAUGAAUCGUGUGGUUGAGGAGGAACAGCAGCAGCAGCAGCAACAGCUCAGACAACAAGAGGAGGGGCACACUGCAAGGAAUGGUGAGGUCGUCGGAGCAGAACCUAGACCUGGAGACCAAAAUGAUUCCCAGCAAGGACAGUUGGAAGAAAACAAUAAUCGAUUCAUUUCGGUAGAUGAGGACUCCUCGGGAAACCAAGAAGAGCAAGAAGAAGAUGAAGAACAUGCUGGUGAACAAGAUGAGGAGGAUGAAGAGGAAGAGGAAAUGGACCAGGAGAGUGAUGAUUUUGAUCAAUCUGAUGACAGUAGCAGGGAAGAUGAACAUACACAUAGUAACAGUGUCACAAACUCCACUAGUAUCGUGGACCUGCCUAUUCACCAGCUCUCCUCCCCAUUCUAUACAAAGACAACAAAAAUGAAAAGAAAAUUAGACCAUGGUUCUGAGGUCCGCUCUUUUUCUUUGGGAAAGAAACCAUGCAAAGUCUCAGAAUAUACAAGCACCACUGGGCUUGUACCAUGUUCAGCAACACCAACAACUUUUGGAGACCUGAGAGCAGCCAAUGGCCAAGGGCAACAACGACGCCGAAUUACAUCUGUCCAACCACCUACAGGCCUCCAGGAAUGGCUGAAAAUGUUUCAGAGCUGGAGUGGACCAGAGAAAUUGCUUGCUUUAGAUGAGCUUAUUGAUAGUUGUGAACCAACCCAAGUAAAACAUAUGAUGCAAGUGAUAGAACCCCAGUUUCAACGAGACUUCAUUUCCUUGCUCCCUAAAGAGCUGGCACUUUAUGUGCUUUCAUUCCUGGAACCCAAAGACCUGCUACAAGCGGCUCAGACGUGUCGCUACUGGAGAAUUUUGGCUGAAGACAACCUUCUCUGGAGAGAGAAAUGCAAAGAAGAGGGUAUUGAUGAACCAUUGCACAUCAAGAGAAGAAAAGUCAUAAAACCAGGUUUCAUACACAGUCCAUGGAAAAGUGCAUACAUCAGGCAGCACAGAAUUGAUACUAACUGGAGGCGAGGAGAACUCAAAUCUCCUAAGGUUCUGAAAGGACAUGAUGAUCAUGUGAUCACAUGCUUGCAGUUUUGUGGUAACCGAAUAGUUAGUGGUUCUGAUGACAACACUUUAAAAGUUUGGUCAGCAGUCACAGGCAAAUGUCUGAGAACAUUAGUGGGACACACAGGUGGAGUAUGGUCAUCACAGAUGAGAGACAAUAUCAUCAUUAGUGGAUCUACAGAUCGGACUCUAAAAGUGUGGAAUGCAGAGACUGGAGAAUGUAUACAUACCUUAUAUGGGCAUACUUCCACUGUCCGCUGUAUGCAUCUCCAUGAAAAAAGAGUUGUUAGCGGUUCUCGAGAUGCCACUCUUAGGGUUUGGGAUAUUGAGACAGGCCAGUGUUUACAUGUUUUGAUGGGUCAUGUAGCAGCAGUCCGCUGUGUUCAAUAUGAUGGCAGGAGGGUUGUUAGUGGAGCAUAUGAUUUUAUGGUGAAGGUGUGGGAUCCAGAGACGGAGACCUGUCUACACACGUUGCAGGGGCAUACUAAUAGAGUCUAUUCAUUACAGGAUUAAGGUCAAUAAAUAAUAUCAAGAAUAUCUGCACUUCUAGUCUAAUAAGCUGUGUCUGUUGUAGUUUGAUGGCAUCCAUGUGGUGAGUGGAUCUCUUGAUACAUCAAUCCGAGUGUGGGAUGUGGAGACGGGGAAUUGCAUUCACACGUUAACAGGACACCAAUCGUUAACAAGUGGAAUGGAACUCAAAGACAAUAUUCUUGUCUCUGGGAAUGCAGAUUCUACAGUUAAAAUCUGGGAUAUCAAAACAGGACAGUGUUUACAAACAUUGCAAGGUCCUAACAAGCAUCAGAGUGCUGUGACCUGUUUACAGUUCAACAAGAACUUUGUAAUUACCAGCUCAGAUGAUGGAACUGUAAAACUAUGGGACUUGAAAACGGGUGAAUUUAUUCGAAACCUAGUCACAUUGGAGAGUGGGGGGAGUGGGGGAGUCGUGUGGCGGAUCAGAGCCUCAAACACAAAGCUGGUGUGUGCAGUUGGGAGUCGGAAUGGGACUGAGGAAACCAAGCUGCUGGUGCUGGACUUCGAUGUGGACAUGAAGUGAAGAGCAGAAAAGAAAUUUGUCCAAAUGUGUAGACGAUAUACUCCCUGCCCUUCCCCCUGAAAAACAAACAAAAAACAAAAACAACAGAAGAAAAAAAGAAAAAAAAAAAAGAAAAAAAAGAAAAAAGAAAAGAAAAAGAAAAAAAAAUCCCUUGUUCUCAGUGGUGCAGGAUGUUGGCUUGGGGCAACAGAGUGAAGAGAUCUACAGACAAGAAGGAAAAGAGGAAGACAUGACAAACCGUAACUGACGAGAGAGGCGUCUGCUGUCUCAGCACAUAAAAGGCUUCACUUUUGACUGAGGGCAGCUUUGCAAAAUGAGACUUUCUAAAUCAAACCAGGUGCAAUUAUUUCUUUAUUUUCUUCUCCAGUGGUCACUGGGCAGUGUUAACGCUGAAGCUUCGUUAAAGAUUCUGUUAGCCUGUCCUUUUACCACUGAGACCUAGGAAGGGGCUGCAAUAACACCCAAACAGGGACUGGCUGACUUUCUCAGUAGAGAGCAUCUGCAACAAAAAGUCAUUUUUCUGGAGUGGAAAAGCUAAAAAAAAAAAAAAAAAAAAAAAAAAAUUUACUGUGAAUUGUUUUUGUACAGUUAUCAUGAAAAGCUUUUUUUUUUUUUUUUGCCAACCAUUGCCAAUGUCAAUCAAUCACAGUAUUAGCCUCUGUUAAUCUAUUUACUGUCGCUUCCACAUACACUCUUCAAUGCAUAUGUUGCUCAAAGGUGGCAAGUUGUCCUGGGUUCCGUGAGUCCUGAGAUGGAUUUAAUUCUUGAUGCUGGUGCUAGAAGUAGGUCUUCAAAUAUGGGAUUGUUGUCCCACCCCUGUACUGUACUCCCAGUGGCCAAACUUAUUUAUGCUGCUAAAUGAAAGAAAGAAAAAAGCAAAUUAUUUUUUUUUAUUUUUUUUCUGCUGUGACGUUUUAGUCCCAGACUGAAUUCCAAAUUUGCUCUAGUUUGGUUACAGAAAAAAGACUUUUUGCCACUGAAACUUGAACCAUCUGUGCCUCUAAGAGGCUGAGAAUGGGAGAGUUUCAGAUAAUAAAGAGUGAAGUUUGCCUGCAAGUAAAGAAUUGAGAGUGUGUGCAAAGCUUAUUUUCUUUUAUCUGGGCAAAAAUUAAAACACAUUCCUUGGAACAGAGAGCUAUUGCCGCCUGUUCUGUGGAGAAACUUUUCUUUUUGAGGGCUGUGGUGAAUGGAUGAACGUACAUAAUAAAACUGACAAAAUAUUUUAAAAAUAUAUAAAACAAAGUUGCUGGUCAGUCUUAGUGUUUUACAGUAUUUGGGAAAACAACUGUUACAGUUUUAUUGCUCUGAGAAACUGACAAAGCAGAAACUACAGUUUUUGUAGUAAAGGCGUCACAUGCAAACAAACGAAAUGAAUGAAAAAGUCAAAUGGUUUGCCUCAUUCUCCAAGAGCCACAACUCAAGCUGAACUGUGAAAGUGGUUUAACACUGUAUCCUAGGUGAUCUUUUUUUCCUCCUCCUGUUUAUUUUUUUUUGUUUUAUUUAUAGUCUGAUUUAAAACAAUCAGAUUCAAGUUGGUUAAUUUUAGUUAUGUAACAACCUGACAUGAUGGAGGAAAACAACCUUUAAAGGGAUUGUGUCUAUGGUUUGAUUCACUUAGAAAUUUUAUUUUCUUAUAACUUAAGUGCAAUAAAAUGUGUUUUUUCAUGUUA